GGAAGGAUCAUUAACAAAUCUGAGUUGUGGGCGUGUGUGUGCCUUGUGCACGCACCGCCUACACAUUUACCCCGAGCCGGCCUAAACAGCCGGCUUUGGUUUGGGCCUUUGGGUUCAAGGCUAUGGUUGGUGCGGGGCGGGCUUGCCGUUCGCGGUGAGCCUUUCCGCGAGACCUAGCCACAUAGACGCUUGUUUUGUUUGACAGAGUUAUCAGUGUAUCACACACAAAUGACAACUUUUAACAAUGGAUCUCUUGGCUCUUGCAACGAUGAAGAACGCAGUGAAAUGCGAAAAGUAAUGCGAUUUGCAUGAAUCUGUGAGUCAUCAAGUCUUUGAACGCACCUUGCACCGUAUGAGCAAUCGUACGGUAUACCUGUUUGAGAAUCGUAAAACACCUUUUCCCCAAGUUUUGGGGAAGACUUGUCGGCUGUGCGUGCAGAGUAGCCAUAUGCACUUGUGCAUGUGUGCUGCUUGCGCAUGCACUCUGAUCAAACGCAGUAGGUCCGGAUCAGGCUGGUGGCCUGGGACAUUGUGUGCUAGAGACGCGUCGCCCUCGUGGCUGACCGGUCUUCUCACAGUGCGUCCCGGGCUAUUCAAGCCAGUUUGAUCGGAGGGCUUCUCGGCGUGUGUGUAUGUGUAUGUGUGUGUGUGCGGUGGUGAUGUGUGCAGUGGGAAGCGUCUCGUACGCCCAACACGGUCUCGUCUCCUCUUCCAAACAUACUACUACUAUACACCACACUCAACCCCCACUUUUUGAUCUCAAAUCAGGUAAGGCUACCCGCUGAACUUAAGCAUAUCAGUAAGCGGAGGAAAAGAAACUAACAAGGAUUCCCCUAGUAACGGCGAGCGAAGCGGGAAUAGCUCAAAUUUAAAAUCUGGUAGGCCUCGCCUACCCGAAUUGUAGUUUAAAGAGGUGCUAUCUGGCCAUGGCCUUGGGCUCAAGUCUCUUGGAAUAGGGCGUCACAGAGGGUGAGAACCCCGUCUGGGCACCGGGCCAUGGCCUCUAUGAGGCACUCUCUACGAGUCGGGUUGUUUGGGAAUGCAGCUCAAAAUGGGUGGUAAAUUUCAUCUAAGGCUAAAUAUUGGCAAGAGACCGAUAGCGAACAAGUACCGUGAGGGAAAGAUGAAAAGCACCUUGAAGAGGGAGUUAAAUAGUGCGUGAAAUUGUUAAAAGGGAAACGAUUGAGACCAGUAUUGCUGCCGGUCGUUCAGCCAAGGGUUGGCGCAAGCCUGCGCUUGGUGCAUUCGGUCGGCGGCGAGUCAGCGUCAGUUUGGUGCGCUUCCGGAGAGAGGUCAGAGGAAGGUGGGUUAGGCCUUCGGGCUUAUCCCCUUAUAGCCUCUGGCUGGCACGGGAGCCCGGACUGAGGUGUGCGACCGUAGUACUCUCGGCAUCGAGACCGUCCCCCAAAGUCAAGGACUGCACGCAGACCUUGACCGCAAGGCGGCGGAGGUAGGGCCGAGCAUACGGUUCCAGGAUGCUGACGAAAUGGUCUUAAACGACCCGUCUUGAAACACGGACCAAGGAGUCCAACAUAUAUGCGAGUAUUUGGAUGGCAAACCCGGAUGCGCAAUGAAAGUGAUCUGGAUGAGAGCGGGGCAACUCGUGCAUCAUCGGCCGAACCUUGAUGUCUUCUGAUAGGUUUGAGUAAGAGCAUAUCUGUUGGGACCCUAAAGGUAGUGAACUAUGCCUGGAUAGGAUGAAGCCAGAGGAAACUCUGGUGGAGGUCCGUAGCCGUUCUGACGUGCAAAUCGAUGGUCAAAUCUGGGUAUAGGGGCGAAAGACUAAUCGAACUACCUAGUAGCUGGUUCCCUC
rnacentral:misc_RNA from 1 species